CAGUGUUUCUGGCCCCUAAGUAUUGCUGCCUUGUGUAUUUUAUUUAGUAUACAGCAAUAAAAAGAGUCCUGUGAAUUAUUAAAUCAUUUCAAUAAGUCAGCUAACAACAUUUACAUAUAGUUGCUACACAGAAAGUAACACAAAUUAUUUCCUCUUUUGCUCAUAUUCAAACAGGCUUGAGUGACAACUUGAGGACAAGGCGGCGCCUCAACAAGAUUUCACACAGCAGCUACGGGGGCCAGAGAAGCAGCACCGCAUGGUGUGGCAGGAGAAGGAGGACAUGCACAAGCAAUUGGUUGAAGCUUCAGAGACAUUGAAAUCCCAAGCCAAAGAACUGAAAGAUGCCCAUCAGCAGCAAAAGCUGGCCCUGCAGGAGUUCUUGGAGCUCAAUGAGCUCAUGGCAGAGCUCUACUCCCAGAAGCAGAAGGUGUGGGACAAGGAGGAGGAGAUGGAAGUAGCCAUGCAGAAAGCUGACAUGAUGUGGCAGGAGAUCUGAAGAUCCAAGAAGCUCAGAAAGAGGAUGCUGUUUAGCCAGAUGCGGUGGCUCACGCCUGUAAUCCCAGCACUUUGGGAGGUCGAGGCGGGUGGAUGGCCUGAGGUCAGGAGUUUGAGACCAGCCUGGCCAACAUGGUGAAACCCUGUCUCUAUUAAAAAUGCAAAAAUUAACCAGGCAUGGUAUUGGGUGCCUGUAAUCCUAGCUACUUGGGAGGCUGAAGCAGGAGAAUUGCUUGAACCUGGGAGGCGGAGGUUGCAGUGAGCCAAGAUCAUGCCACUGCACUCCAGCCUGGGCAACAAGAGCAAAACUCUGUCUCAAAAAAAAAAAAGGGGGGGAGGAAGCUAUUUAGAUAUUUCAGCGAUGGUAUUGACUGGACUUUUGUAUGACCUUAAUAAAACAUCUUUGAAAACUUGGGCUGCAUUAUGUAAA
rnacentral:lncRNA from 1 species